GCAUAAGAAUGUUGAAGGGUAUUAGAGUUUAAAUUAUCCUCCUUCACCUCUUUUCCUUCUUUGUAACCUUCUAUCUCUCUUCUCUUCUUCUUUUUCUUGUCUAUCGUGUAUUGAGAGUAUUAUAAAAAGCAGGUGAUGGGGCAUAAGAGUGAAGGGUAUUAGAGUUUUAAUUAUCCCCCUUCACUUCUUUCCCUUCAUUUCCCUUCAUUUUUAAUCUUCUACCUCUUUUUUCUUCUUCUUCCCCUUCUUGUCUAUAGUGUUUUAAGAGUAUUAUAAAAAGCAGGAGAUGGGGCAUAAGAAUGUUGAAGGGUAUUAGAGUUUAAAUUAUCCCCCUUCACUUCUUUCCCUUCAUUUCCCUUCCUUUUUAACCUUCUAUCUCUUUUCUUCUUCUUCCCCUUCUCUCCGUUAGUGUAUUACAGGUAUUACAAAAGGCAGGUGAUGGGAUGAGGGUGUUAAUCAGUGGUAAGGAGAGCUUUAUAAUUAUCCUCCUCUUCUCUUUUUAUUAGAUUUCCCUUCAUUUUAAAUCGUUUCCUUUUAUUUUUUUCCUUUUUUUUCUUUAGUAUAUUAAGGGUGAUGGGGUGAAAAUGUUAAUGGGUGGAAGAUAGAGCUUUAUAAUUAUCCUCCUCCUCUUCUUUUUAUUAAUUUCCCUUCAUUUUAAAUCGUUUCCCUCUGUUUUAAUUUUUCCUUUUUUAUCUUUAGUAUAUUAAGGGUGAUGGGAUGAAAAUAUUAAUGGGUGGUAGAUAGAGCUUUAUAAUUAUCCUCCUCUCCUCUUUUUACUAGAUUUCCUUUCAUUUUAAAUCGUUUCACUUUGUUUUAAUUUUUCCUUUUUUAUCUUUAGUAUAUUAAGGGUGAUGGGAUGAAAAUGUUAAUGGGUGGAAGAUAGAGCUUUAUAAUUAUCCUCCUCCUCUUCUUUUUAUUCAUUUCCCUUCAUUUUAAAUCGCUUCCCUUUGUUUUAAUUUUUCCUUUUUUAUCUUUAGUAUAUUAUGGGUGAUGGGAUGAAAAUGUUAAUGGGUGGAAGAUAGAGCUUUAUAAUUAUCCUCCUCCUCUUCUUUUUAUUCAUUUCCCUUCAUUUUAAAUCGCUUCCCUUUGUUUUAAUUUUUCCUUCUUUUCUUUAGUAUAUUAAGGGUAUUAUAAGACAGGUGAUAGGAUAAGGAUAUUAAUUUGAGGUGAUUAGAACUUAAGUUAAAACCCUUCUUCUCUUCUUUUCCUCUAUGUCCCUUUUUUUAACUCUAUAUCUCUCUUUUCUUCCCCUCUGUCUGCCUUUACUUUAUUAAGGGUAUUACAUAAGGGCGUUGAUAGAUGUGAUUCGCGCUCAAAUUAUCUUCCUUUCACUCAAUUUCACCUCAUCUUAAAUCGCUCACCUCUUUUUCUUUCCCUUUCUUUCCUUUGAGGUGACUUGAGGCUGUGACAAACGGUAUAGGUUAACGGUAAAGGGAUAAGAAAGUUAAUUAAAAGGUGAUCAGAUCUUAUAUUAUCUUCCUUCUCAGUUUCACUUCAUUUUACAUCCCUGAGCUCUCUUUCCUUUGAGGUGACGAGGCUGUGACAAACGGUAUAGGUUAAUUGUAAUGGGAUAAGAAAGUUAAUUAAAAGGUGAUCAGAGCUUACGUUAUCUUCCUUCUCCUCAAUUUCACUUCAUCUUCAAUCCCUUAUCUCUCCCUUCUUCUUUCCCCAUUCUUUUCCCUGAGGUGACAAGGCUGACAAAAGGUAUAGGUUAACGGUAAUGGGAUAAGGUGUUAAUUAAAAGGUGAUCAUAGCUUACAUUAUCUCCCUCCUCCUCAAUUUCACUUCAUCUUCAAUCCCUUAUCUCUCCCUUCUUCUUUCCCCAUUCUUUUCCCUGAGGUGACUUGAGGCUGUGACAAACGGUAUAGGUUAAUUGUAAUGGGAUAAGAAAGUUAAUUAAAAGGUGAUCAGAGUUUACAUUAUCUCCCUUCUCCUCAAUUUCACUUCAUCUUCAAUAAGAACAUAAGAACAUAACUCCCUUCUUCUUUCCCCAUUUUUUUC